UACGCUGGCGGCACGCCUAACACAUGCAAGUCGAACGAAGUAGCAAUACUUAGUGGCAGACGGGUGAGUAACAUGUAGGUAUCUGCCCUUUGGCCUGGAAUAACACGAGGAAACUUGUGCUAAUACCGGAUAAGUCUUUACGGAGAAAGCUUUAUGCACCAUUGGAUGAGCCUGCACUUGAUUAGUUUGUUGGUGGGGUAAUGGCCUACCAAGACUGUGAUCAAUAGCUGAUUUGAGAGGAUGAUCAGCCACAUUGGGACUGAGACACGGCCCAAACUCCUACGGGAGGCAGCAGUGGGGAAUCUUGCACAAUGGAGGAAACUCUGAUGCAGCGAUGCCGCGUGAGUGAAGAAGGCCCUUGGGUUGU
rnacentral:rRNA from 1 species